GGGAGCCCAGAGCCGAGCCGCCAGCCCUGCCGUUCACUUCCAGGACAAUUUCGCCGCCCUGGCAGGGACCUUAUUCCGGAGCAGUCACGCCUCGCUCCCCCGCCACCUGGCACAACCCACCCUCUGUCUCCGGGUGACAUCUCCUGCCUGUGGCCACCCCUCCUGCUCGGCACGGCACUUUCCGGGCUGCUCCACGCGGCUCCUCUCCACGGCGGGCUGGUCUCUUGCCUCCGGAUUCCUCCACAUCCGGGCACUCCUGCUGGGCUGCCACCAGCUGGACUGAGUCCCAGCCCAGGCCAGACGGGGUGCAGCUCCCCGACCUCCCAGCUGGGCCCCUCACCAGGCUCAUGCGGGUGGCCGAUGCCAUCGCACUUGCAAGCCUGUCUCCCCGCAGAUGAAGGGACCGAGGACAGCCCAGCUCCUCCGCGCCCUCUGCGGCUGGCUGGUGUCCCCUCACAGGGCAGGAGGGAGGCAGGUGCUCAGGGCCUCUCUUCCCCCCCAUCACGUCACACACUGAGAGCUGUGUGAUAGAUGGGGAUUUGAGUCUCUGUUCAAUGCCAUUAACGGAUGGCACAAGAAGUGGCAGCUUUAGGGCAGUUCCAAAAUGUUUUCUUUCAUUAUUUUUAUGAUCCGGGAACCGCCCCACACAAGAGAGCUGGAAUCCUCUGGUCUUGAUCCUCGGGAGGAAACUGUGACAGGAGAGGGGCAGGCGUCCUCCCCGCUUUCCAAACGAGACCGGGCUCCGCUGGACUGCGGACUGGCCCAGAGUCCCCACCAGGGCCCGGCCCACCCCGUGCUGCUCCGAGGGUCUGUCGCACAGAACAGCGGGAAACGAGCAUUCAAUCGUCGUCGUCGUCGUCUUCAAGGGCAUAAACCCAAGGUGGGAGAGAGGAAAACAACCCCGCUGGGGCCCAACCUUAGAGGAGGCGCCCGGUGGGCAAGGCCGAGUGGGAGAGAAAGGCUGACUGGGACCUGGUCCCCCCAGGAUCUCGGGGCGCCGAUGCUGGGAAACACGGACCGUGGCCGCGAAUGCAGGAGUGCAGAGUGUGACUGCGGGGGAAGAGCUGUCCGUUGCAGGGCAUGAAGGAAGGCUUCCUGGAGGAGGUGCCCUUGGAGCUGGUCCGGAAGUUGGGGGGAGGGGUUCCGCAGGGUAUUCUGGAAUGAAGAAGGAGCUUAAGCCAGAGCAAGCGCCGACUCCUACUGAGAAAGGACUGUGGGAGAGAAACUGGGGGGCAAGAAAAUCCUGGGGAACAGGGGCAGUGAAGCAGCUCCUGGGCUCACACACGCGGCUCUCAGAGGGCGCACCUUUCACCCGCUCCUGGUUCAGAGAAGAUUCAGACCCGCGGAUGCUCACCUGCCGGGGGAGCCAGCGGUGAGCCCGGCUCAGCAUUGCCUUUCUCCUCAGGACCCAGGACCCAGCCAUGACCAGGCCUGGAGGCCUCCAUGGGCAGCGGGUGGUCAGCAGAGCGCCUCCUGUGGCCUCUCGAGUGGCCCGGGCCUCCUCAUGGUGGUGGCCGGAGCCAACAGCAGUGUCCCAGGAGGGCUGGGUGGGGAGUCCCUGGGCCUGGUGGCAGUGCAGCCGGACUCAGGGACGGAGCACAGACCACCUCUUCAUGUCAGAAGCUGCGAGUCCGGGAUUUUGGAAGACACCGAGGUUGCACGCCCGGGCUGCACGCACGCGGCUCUCAGGUGUUGCUGAGUCUCUGCGCGCUGCUGUCAGUGUGGACAGGGUGCCUUGUGUCUCCUGGCCUUUGCUGACCGUGUGAACACAUACAGGUGAGGCUGGGCUGCUCCUUUGGCGCCGCAAGGAUGGCAGAGGCUGCAGGACUGGGAGUGACUGCUAUUCCGGAUGUUGCUGCAGAAGGUGGGGGAUGGGGCACAGGUGAGCCCCCAGGAGCGGGGCUCUGGGAAGCACCCUGAUCAGAGCAGGAGGCCCAAGUCCUGCCUGCUGCUGGCGGUGGGCACAUCCUGGAGCCCUGGAGGCCUGGGGCCCUCGUCAGCUCUAAGAUGCUCAGUGUUUCCUGAGCGACGCGGGUCCUUGGCCCCAGAGGUACCCACGUGCUCGCGUUUGGGUCUGUUAGACC
rnacentral:lncRNA from 1 species